UGGGGAAUAUUGCACAAUGGGCGCAAGCCUGAUGCACCAACGCCGCGUGAACGAUGAAGGUCUUCGGAUCGUAAAGUUCUGUUGCAGGGGAAGAUAAUGACGGUACCCUGUGAGGAAGCCCCGGCUAACUACGUGCCAGCAGCCGCGGUAAUACGUAGGGGGCUAGCGUUAUCCGGAUUUACUGGGCGUAAAGGGUGCGUAGGUGGUCUUUCAAGUCGGUGGUUAAAGGCUACGGCUCAACCGUAGUUAGCCUCCGAAACUGGAAGACUUGAGUGCAGGAGAGGAAAGUGGAAUUCCCAGUGUAGCGGUGAAAUGCGUAGAUAUUGGGAGGAACACCAGUAGCGAAGGCGGCUUUCUGGACUGCAACUGACACUGAGGCACGAAAGCGUGGGUAGCAAACAGG
rnacentral:rRNA from 1 species